rnacentral:lncRNA from 1 species
UCAGAGGCCAGGUGCAGUGGCUCACACCUGUAAUCCCAGCAUUUUGGGAGGCUGAGGCGGGCAGAUCACCUGAGGUCGGGAGUUCAAGAUCAGCCACACCAACAUAGAGAAAACCUGUCCUCUACUAAAAAUACAAAAGUAGCCAGGCGUGGUGGUGCAUGCCUGUAAUCCCAGCUACUUGGGAGGCUGAGACAGGAGAAUCACUUGAACCUGGCAGGUGGAGAUUGUGGUGAGUCAAGAUCGCACCAUUGCACUCCAGCCUGGGCAACAAGAGCAAAACUCCCUCUCAAACAAAACAAAACAAAACAAACGAAAAGAAAGAAAGAAAAUAAGGAGACAGAAGAGGAAGAAGUGAAAAGUUUCUAGAACUAAGUCUUGAAGAAAUUCAAGUUUAGUAUGAUAGAAGAAUGAGUGUGCAAGAAAUUAAGAAAGAAUAGCGUAAGAACCAUGAGAAGAACCAGGAAAGCUAUCAUAGAAUCCAAAAAAAGGAGGUUUUUUGGGAAGAGCAUAAGUUUAAAAAGCUAUAAAAAUUAAAAAAUUAAAAAUAAACAAGGAAAAUGAGAUCCAGAAAAAAACAACUGAGAUAAAUGAAUAUAAUUACUAAUUCAGUUAAAAUUUAUAGUGUUACAGAGGAUGAUGCUACAUUGUACUACAGAGGACAGAGUCAUGGGGACAUCAACAUCAAAACAAUCAUAAUAUAGAAGAGAUGGGUUCUUGCUACAUUGUUCAGGCUGCUGUGGAACUCCUGGGCUCAAGAGAUCCUCCCAACUCAGUCUCCAGAGUAGCUGGGACCAAAGCAAUGGUAAAGUGCCAAGAAGAAGCAAAGGAAUGGAAAGAGACUUGUCGGGGAGGACAAAGUUACAGUUACAUAGCAGAAGUAAGUAUUGGUGUACCAUUGAAUAGCAUGAUGGCUAGAGUUAACGACAAUGUAUCUUAUAUUUCAAAAUAGCUAGAAGAGAGGUUUUUUAAUGUUGUCAUCACAAAGAAAUGCUAAAUGUUUAAGGUGAUGAAUAUGCUAAUUGCCCUGAUUUAACAAUUAUAUACUUUAUAUAUGUAUUAAAAUGUCAUGUUGCACUCUAUAAAUAUAUAUAAUUAUUAUGUCAAUCUUGCACUCAAAAAAUUACCUAAGCUUUUUGUUUUUCUUAUGUUACUAAGACAAAGUAAUGUUUGAGAAAUAUAGAAGUCUAUUAGGCUAUUUUCCAUCAGAUAGUCACAUAUCCUUAGAGCCUUGAUACCUAAUAGACAUUUGUUUUUUUUCUCCAUGUAAAUAAAGCUUGAUUUAUUUGCUAAGUUUAUCCUGCUAAAACAAUCUCUAUGUGAAUUCUGUAAAACACAGAAAUGGUAAACUGAGAGUCUCAUGUUUGCAUGUAGUUUGGUAUUUUGGCAUAUGACUUGUAAUAUGAUUGGAACAUACAAGCAAUAUAUCAAAGUUCUUCGCAGAAGAAUGGUAGGGGGUAGAUUCUUGAACACAGAACCCAAAGAUUCAGCUCAAUGCACACUGGCAACUGAGAAACAACUGUACAGUAUAUGACACUGUAAAUUGCUGUUAAAGCAAUGUUUUUGGUCAACUUGAAAAAAAUUUGUGAGAAUUUUCUAAUGAUUACUUUUUUCUGUUACACACUGACAACAUUUUCAUAAACUAUUUACAAUUUUAAAUAAAAAUGGUAGAAACAAAUUGUUUUUUUCCAUAAUAAAAUUCACAAAAUAUUUUCUGUUGCUGAGUAUAAGUUGCUUGGUCAUAUCAAUUCACAAAUACCUUGAAAAUGAUCGUAUCUUUAUGUUUGCAUUUUUUGUUUUUAUGUUCACAGUUCAAAUGAAAGGUUUGAUUAUUCUUUAGUAAGUGAUACACUUGAAAUAGAGCUCAAGGAUCUGAACUGCUCACAAUUCAUGUACUUUAAAAAUAAAUUCCAAAUAAGCUAUUAUUGAUA